UACAGAGGGUGCUAGUGUUGUUCGGAUUUAUUGGGCGUAAAGGGAGUGUAGGUGGGGGCUAAAGUCAGUGGUGAAAAUUCGGGGCUUAACCCUGAACUUGCCAUUGAUACUGAGUCUCUUGAGUAUGGAAGAGGGCGAUGGAAUUCCUGGUGUAGCGGUGGAAUGCGUAGAUAUCAGGAGGAACACCGAUUGCGAAGGCAGUCGCCUGGGACAAUACUGACACUGAAACUCGAAAGCAUGGGGAGCAAACAGG
rnacentral:rRNA from 1 species